GGGAGACAACCAUGGACUUUGGUAUGGAACCACACAGCCUCUUCACAGACGGACAGGUGCUGAGCAUUUCCCUGGGACCAGGAGACAGAGAUGUGGCCUAUUCCUGCAUUGUCUCCAACCCUGUCAGCUGGGACUUGGCCACAGUCACGCCCUGGGAUAGCUGUCAUCAUGAGGCAGGUAUGCUAAGGGCCAGCAGUCAAUGGUUGAGGGCUUAUGAAGCAUCAAGUCCACCUCUAACCCCACCCCUCCAUGUUCAGCACCAGGGAAGGCCUCCUAUAAAGAUGUGCUGCUGGUGGUGGUGCCUGUCUCGCUGCUCCUGAUGCUGGUUACUCUCUUCUCUGCCUGGCACUGGUGCCCCUGCUCAGUUCCUGGGCAAUCACUUCACCUUGGACAAAGGAUCAGCACAGCUGGCCUCCAGAUCCACAUCACCACUCUUCCACUCGAUUGUUCCCAGAUCCUCCCUGCCUGGCCUGCUCAGAGGUUCCCUGUUGGGCCCCACCUCAGAUCAAAGCAGCUCUGGAUGAGAUGGGACCUGCAGCUCUCCCUCCACAAGGUGACUCUUAGCAACCUCAUUUCGACAGUGUUUGUAGUGUGGUGCACCAGGGCCUUGUUGAACAGAUCCACACUGCUCUAAUAAAGUUCCCAUCCUUAAUGA
rnacentral:sRNA from 1 species